rnacentral:tRNA from 1 species
GCUGGUAUAGCUCAGUUGGUAGAGCGACGCACUCGUAAUGCGUAGGGCAGGAGUUCAAGUCUCCUUACCAGCUCCA